rnacentral:rRNA from 1 species
AUUGAACGCUGGCGGGAUGCCUUACACAUGCAAGUCGAACGAGCGGCGGACGGGUGAGUAAUGUCUGGGAAACUGCCUGAUGGAGGGGGAUCACUACUGGAAACGGUAGCUAAUACCGCAUACCAUCAGAUGUGCCCAGAUGGGAUUAGCUAGUAGGUGGGGUAACGGCUCACCUAGGCGACGAUCCCUAGCUGGUCUGAGAGGAUGACCAGUCACACUGGAACUGGGACACGGUCCAGACUCCUACGGGAGGCAGCAGUGGGGAAUAUUGCACAAUGGGCGCAAGCCUGAUGCAGCCAUGCCGCGUGUGUGAAGAAGGCCUUCGGGUUGUAAAGCACUUUCAGCGGGGAGGCGUUACCCGCAGAAGAAGCACCGGCUAACUCCGUGCCAGCAGCCGCGGUAAUUC